rnacentral:lncRNA from 1 species
GUUCCUUCCUUAGCAUAUGCUUUGUAAGGGUAGACGUCCAUAAAAUAUUAAAACUGAGAAAACAGAAAGUUUUCACAUUCUACUAUAAUGGAAUUCCUAAUUCAUUAACACAUUUAAGAUACAUAUUGUGAGCUAUGGGUAGGUUCCAAGAAAAAGUUUCUCUAAUACUCAGAUGUUAAGAGACAAGUGAGUUUUCUUGGUUGUAAGGUUGAGUAGAUGGCACCGUCUCGAAGGAUAACAUGAGGAAGAAGUAAAAGAGUACACAAAAAACAUUCUACUGUAACUUACUUUCUGCUUCCUCUAGUGACUUUUUGUAGGUCAUUCUUUCCAGUAACAUAGUGAACCCUUUUGUAGACAGCGAAACAAAAGAUCAUAUCAGAUCACAAAAGAAUAUAGCAUCUUACGCGGAACGCAAGUGGUAUUUGUGAAAACUUAGAGAAUAGAAACUCACAGGCUCAAAGAAUAAUGAGGAUAUUGUAGUUUUAUUAAUUGGAUUUUUAAAAAGCUAUUUUCAUUCACAGGUUAUUGCAAUGGUUCUCAGGGGAUCCAAAUAGGUAGAUCUUUGGUUUCUUCACCUGAACCACCUUGAGAGUACUGGAUCAAUAGAAUAAAUAGUAUUGGAUGAAUCAGUCAGUGAAUUAUUACAGUGUUAGUGGUAGACUUGACUGCUUUUAUGUAAGAGGUUAACAGGGAUCCAGACAGCUUGAGUAAUUGAGUUCUAGACCGUGAAAGAGAGAGAAAUGCCUUCACUCCACUCAUGGAGCAUGGGAUCAAAGCAAGCAGACUUCUUCGAGUAACCCCUGGGGGUUUACAGAGGGUUGCUCCUCUGUCACCCCCAAUCUUCAGAAGGGGUGGCAGCUUUUACCUUUGUAGCAUAGCCAGCAGUAACAAUUACUGAGUGUUUUUAUUUCUCCUAGAAGAUAAACUAACAAGGGAGGGCAGAGGAUACCUAAAAAUUACAAUAACGACAAGCAGGGGCAGGGGUCAGGGGCAGCGGUAACAGUAAGGAGAGAGAAGAGUGGAUGGAGA